UUCCUGAUGUUCAGUCAGAAUCUCAUUUCUUGUAACUUGAAUCCAUUGGUUCGAGUCCUGCUCUCCAAAGAGGGAGAAAACAAGCUUACUCCAUCUUCCAGCCCUUAAGAUAUUUGAAGACGGCUAUCACAUCUCCUCUCAGACUCCUCUUUCCCAGGCUGAACAUACCCAGCUCCUUCAAGC